rnacentral:rRNA from 1 species
GAUGAACGCUAGCGGGAGGCCUAACACAUGCAAGCCGAGCGGUAUUGUUUCUUCGGCAAUGAGAGAGCGGCGUACGGGUGCGUAACACGUGUGCAACCUGCCUUUAUCUGGGGGAUAGCCUUUCGAAAGGAAGAUUAAUACUCCAUAAUAUAUUGAACGGCAUCGUUUAAUAUUGAAAGCUCCGGCGGAUAGAGAUGGGCACGCGCAAGAUUAGCUAGUUGGUGAGGUAACGGCUCACCAAGGCGAUGAUCUUUAGGGGGCCUGAGAGGGUGAUCCCCCACACUGGUACUGAGACACGGACCAGACUCCUACGGGAGGCAGCAGUGAGGAAUAUUGGUCAAUGGGUGCAAGCCUGAACCAGCCAUCCCGUGUGAAGGACGACUGCCCUAUGGGUUGUAAACUUCUUUUGUAUAGGGAUAAACCUACCCUCGAGAGGGUAGCUGAAGGUACUAUACGAAUAAGCACCGGCUAACUCCGUG